GCGCAUGCGCGGUAGCUCCCGCUGCUGAAUAGCUGAGAGGCGCGCUGGGGCUGCCAGCUGGGCUCGGAGUGCAGCGGCGUCAGGAUGGACAAGGACGUGUUGCACCCUGAAGAGCCUCAUCAUCGGCGAGAGUGGGGUGGGCAAGUACAGCCUGCUCUUGAGGUUCACAGAUGAUACCUUUGAUCCAGAACUUGCAGCAACAAUAGGUAAUGCAGGAAUCACAUGAACCUGUCCAUCCACAGAUGAAGUGGUAAAUAAACUGCCAUGUUAGAUACAUGACGGUGUACUCUUCAGCCAUAAAGCUUCGGGAAACCCUGUCAUCAGCAACCACGUGGAGGAACCUGUCCAUCCACAGAUGAAGGGAUCAGGAAACUCUGGUAUAUAUACUGAAGGGAAAUGCUUUUUGGCUACCAAAAUAAUGAAAUUAUGUCGUUUGGAGCAACACAGACGAACCUGUCCAUCCACAAAUGAAGACAUCAAGAAACUCUAGUGUGUACACAAGGCAAAACACUUCAGCCAUCAAAAUCAUGACAUAUGUCACGUGGAGCAACCCAGUUGACCCGCCAAGGCUGCCUCUUCCUCCACAGGCGGAUGGACGCUGUGGCUGCUGCUCCUUCCUGGGCCGUGCCCUGACGCUGCCAACACCACUGCUCCUCUAUUUAUAAGUCUUAAUAGGGUUGCUGACCCAGCUAUAGCUGAACAGCUGACAUGUACCUCAUGCUAAGCCAGGUGCUUCAUAUGUUUCUAACUUGAAAAAUGCUGAGCUACUUACCUUAACACCAUUAACUUUUACUUAAAAGUUUGUUUUUCUUUUUUAAUCCCAGCAAACUCCAAACAAGUUUUAGGAGGCUCCUCAAAGCCAGCAAAGACUUUAACU